UACGGAGGGAGCUAGCGUUGUUCGGAAAUACUGGGCGUAAAGCGCACGUAGGCGGCGCAGCAAGUCAGGGGUGAAAUCCCGGGGCUCAACCCCGGAACUGCCCUUGAAACUGCAGUGCUAGAAUCUUGGAGAGGCGAGUGGAAUUCCGAGUGUAGAGGUGAAAUUCGUAGAUAUUCGGAAGAACACCAGUGGCGAAGGCGACUCGCUGGACAAGUAUUGACGCUGAGGCGCGAAAGCGUGGGGAGCAAACAGG
rnacentral:rRNA from 1 species